rnacentral:rRNA from 1 species
AGAUUGAACGCUGGCGGCAUGCUUUACACAUGCAAGUCGAACGGUAACAGGCCGCAAGGUGUUGACGAGUGGCGAACGGUGAGUAAUGUAUCGGAACGUGCCCAGUCGUGGGGAUAACGCAGCGAAAGCUGCGCUAAUACCGCAUACGAUCUAUGGAUGAAAGCGGGGACCGUAAGGCCUCGCGCGAUUGGAGCGGCCGAUAUC